CACACAAUUUAUUGUACGUGAGGCCUGAUCCUAUGUUUAUUACAGGGAUUUGCAUAAGGACUACAGGAAACCAACACCAUUUUACUAUGUUCCCAUUGCAAGAAAUAAAAUGGUGCCUUUGAGUAAAGCUGCUUCAUCAGACACUAGUUCAGCAUGCCAAGUUAAAGCCAUCAAUGGUGAAACAGCAGAUGUGAAGGCUAGUUGGCAUGAAAGCAUAUGAGUCAAAGACUUUCCUAUGGGAAAGAAAGUGCUUCAUUACACUUUAUCUAU
rnacentral:lncRNA from 1 species